CAAUGAAUUUAAGAUUCAUAUACAAAGAUUAUUUUUUUAUUAGAA
rnacentral:tRNA from 1 species